rnacentral:tRNA from 1 species
GGGAUGUAGCUCAGUGGUACAGCACCUGCCUGGCAAGUGUGAGGUCCUGAGUUCAAUCCCCAGCACCCA